CAGGGGCGGGGAUGGCAGAUGGUACAAUCAUGGAGUGACCAGCUUCGUCUCUUCUGCAGGAUGUAACACUCUCAUGAAGCCUACCGUGUUCACUCGCACGUCUUCCUUUACCAAGUGGAUCAGUGAUACCAUGCUGCAGUACUGAAGACUUGGAGCUUCUGAAAAUCAAUAAUCUGGCAAUUAAUACAGAUGACUUAAUAAACUACACAGUGUCCCA